UAGUGGCGGACGGGUGAGUAACGCGUGGGAAUCUGCCCUCAGGAGGGGGAUAACGGUUGGAAACGACCGCUAAUACCCCAUAUGCCGAGAGGUGAAACGAAAUUCGCCUGAGGAUGAGCCCGCGUCUGAUUAGCUAGUUGGUGGGGUAAAGGCCUACCAAGGCAUCGAUCAGUAGCUGGUCUGAGAGGAUGAUCAGCCACACUGGGACUGAGACACGGCCCAGACUCCUACGGGAGGCAGCAGUGGGAAUUUUCCGCAAUGGGCGCAAGCCUGACGGAGCAACGCCGCGUGAGGGAUGAAGGCCUCUGGGCUGUAAACCUCUUUUCUCAAGGAAGAAGAACUGACGGUACUUGAGGAAUAAGCCACGGCUAA
rnacentral:rRNA from 1 species